GACGAACGCUGGCGGCGUGCUUAACACAUGCAAGUCGAACGGUAAGGCCCUUCGGGGUACACGAGUGGCGAACGGGUGAGUAACACGUGGGUGAUCUGCCCUGCACUUCGGGAUAAGCCUGGGAAACUGGGUCUAAUACCGGAUAGGACUCCGGACUGCAUGGUCUGGGGUGGAAAGCUUUUGCGGUGUGGGAUGGGCCCGCGGCCUAUCAGCUUGUUGGUGGGGUGAUGGCCUACCAAGGCGACGACGGGUAGCCGGCCUGAGAGGGCGACCGGCCACACUGGGACUGAGACACGGCCCAGACUCCUACGGGAGGCAGCAGUGGGGAAUAUUGCGCAAUGGGCGAAAGCCUGACGCAGCAACGCCGCGUGCGGGAUGACGGCCUUCGGGUUGUAAACCGCUUUCAGCAGGGAAGAAGCCGCAAGGUGACGGUACCUGCAGAAGAAGCACCGGCUAACUACGUGCCAGCAGCCGCCGUAA
rnacentral:rRNA from 1 species